ACAUCUGGUUGUGACCGUGCACAUUCGUGGUUACUAAACAUUCGUUGUCUCGUACUAGCUUCAGAUGAGUUUUGUACUUCUGUCUCUAUAAGCAAUCGAUCGCUUUUGAAAUUUACGCAUGCGCAUUAGAAAAUGACAACCCGACCCUUCUCAAAUCUGAGCCCGAAUAUCGGCAACAAAGAGCAUUUAUAAUACUACUGAAACUCGGUAAUCUGCCACCAAUCACACAUCAAAGGACUAUCGAAUUUUGAUCAUCCUAGAAGUUUCAAUUGUUCAUAUUAUAAAUAUUGCUGUGAUUUGAAGUGUAGAAAUCGGUUUUCAUUCAAUUUAUUCGUAAAAUAAAUUCAGAGUGUGCUAGAAACAAAGACCCAUUUUUUGUGAUGGGCACUAUUCGCGGGUUUUGUUGCGACGAUGAGACGGGGGAGGUCGUAACAUUUGAUGUGAACGAAGAAACCGGAGAGCCGUCAGUUGAAAAUGUUACACCUCCAGUGAGCAAUGAUGAACAGCAGAACGCACCUGAACAACCGAGGAGAUACUUGCGUUUCCCUCGCGGCUACAUCACCAGGACGAGACGGUUCCGAUCGCUUCAGGCGAACAUUAUUGAAGGGGCCAACCCUAUCAGUCACCGAAUGCUCCUAAUUCCCACUUUGAUGGUCUUCCCUGGCCUCUUCUGUGUUAUUCUAAUGUUGUUGGAAGUAUACCUUCAUGUACGAUGCCACAAAAAGAACAAGCAGCCUAAAGAUCCAAAUAUGUACUACCGCAGUCCUUUCCAUGUGGUAACAAGCACUUUUUGUGGUAUGUGCCGCGAAACUGAUGCUGCAUCUAGGAUUGGCCAGAUGCAGGACCAGCGCCGUAACCGCUAUGACUAUUUCAGGGGUAUUGCUAUAUAAUAUUUAAUUACCCACCUAUUGCUCAUCUUUGAUUAUCUCAUCAAAGGAGACUUCACAACGAGCAAUAAGUAUUAACAACAUUGCCAGAGUUGCAUGCAUAAUACAUUUUUAUGUAACCCCAUCUCAAUAAGGUACUUGUCUUUUGUAAUGUAUUAUAAGGUUUUCUGGUAGUUUCAUUUAUUAAGAUUAUACUGUUUGCGGCCAAAUUAUUAGAGUUCUAUCUAAGGUAUUUGGAAUUGUGAUAAUUUUUUCGUAUAUUUUCAUACAAGUUUGCCCAUUUUAUGAAAGUUAUUUUUCCUUGUUUCUUUGUACAAUAUUUUAUUUUGGCCUGAUUGAAAUCUGACAAUAUCAGAGCAUUAAGAUUAAUAUCUUUUGGUGAUUAUGUUAAGCCAUAGUUAUAAUUAUAUUUAACAUAAGGCAAUGGCUCAGUUUUGUAAUGGUUUGCAAUAGGCAUUUAUUACUUUAAUAUUAUACUUUGUGGCUUAGAUGAGUGUAAUUAUAAUAAUGCUUGUUACUAUGUAUUUUUUAAUCACUAUGUUAUACUGAAUGGACAAAAGGAUACAUGUAGUUACUUCUUCCUUUUGGACAGACAAGUAAUAGUAGUUAUUAUGAAAUAAAUAAAUGCACAUCAUUAAAUAUUGUAUUUGUAAUAAUAUAUAUUGUCUUUAUUAGAAAAUUUCUAAUAUUUAUAAAGUAUUGGCAACUAUAAGUCUGACUCAAUAGCAUGGAUUUAUUCAAUUAUGAUUCUAGAUAUAUUUUCUAUUACAAAGCUUUUGAUCUCUAAACUGAAUAUAUUUUGUAAUUUAUUUUCUACUAAUUAGUUUUUAAUAGGUGCUACUGUCUCUGUAAUAUGUAAUAUAUGUCAUAUUGUAGUCUGGCUAUAAAAAUAAAAUAAUGUUUGUAUCAAUGUAAUAUGUUUGCAGUAUUGUUCUUUUUAUUAAUAUUAUGACUAAAGAAUGAAUUGGGUUGAAAUUCAGCAAUACAUUGUAAUGUAUCAUCUAUAGGUACUAAGUAUCCUAAAACUGUUUGGCCGACUGUUUUUAAAAGAGGAGUAUAAUAACUAAGUAUAUUUAACUAGAUAAGCCAUAAUAUGUAAUAACCAAGGUCACUGUAUUUAGUGUGAACCAAGCAGUUGCAAACAUGUUUAACCCAUUGUAAAUGUCUGGGUGUAUUUAUAUUGGUGAAGGAUAUACCAUAACCAAGGUCACUGUAUUUAGUGUGAACCAAGUAGUUGCAAACAUGUUUAAACCAUAGUAAAUGUCUGGGUGUAUUUAUGUAGGUGAAGGAUAAUUACCAUAACCAAGGUCACUGUAUUUAGUGUGAACCAAGUAGUUGCAAACAUGUUUAACCUAUAGUAAAUGUCUGGGUGUAUUUAUGUAGGUGAAGGAUAUACCAUAACCAAGGUCACUGUAUUUAGUGUGAACCCAGUAGUUGCAAACAUGUUUAACCCAUUGUAAAUGUCUGGGUGUAUUUAUGUAGGUGAAGGAUAUACCAUAACCAAGGUCACUGUAUUUAGUGUGAACCAAGUAGUUACAAACAUGUUCAACCCAUUGUAAAUGUCUGGGUGUAUUUAUAUUGGUGAAGGAUAUACCAUAACCAAGGUCACUGUAUUUAGUGUGAACCAAGUAGUUGCAAAUAUGUUUAAACCAUAGUAAAUGUCUGGGUGUAUUUAUGUAGGUGAAGGAUAUACCAUAACCAAGGUCACUGUAUUUAGUGUGAACCAAGUAGUUGCAAACAUGUUUAACCUAUAGUAAAUGUCUGGGUGUAUUUAUGUAGGUGAAGGAUAUACCAUAACCAAGGUCACUGUAUUUAGUGUGAACCAAGUAGUUGCAAACAUGUUUAACCCAUUGUAAAUGUCUGGGUGUAUUUAUGUAGGUGAAGGAUAUACCAUAACCAAGGUCACUGUAUUUAGUGUGAACCAAGUAGUUGCAAACAUGUUUAACCCAUUGUAAAUGUCUGGGUGUAUUUAUGUUGGUGAGGAUAUACCAUAAGUAAGGUCUGUGUUUUGUGUGAAACGAGUACUGUCUAUCUAAAAUCUAUAGUAUAGAAAUAAGAACCUAUUAUUUGAUGGUCUAUGAAUUGGAAUAUGCUCAUGUUAAAUUUAUUCUUAGUCAGUCUUAGGGGAUAUGACUUGAUGAUAUUGUAAUAAUCUCUUUGUAAUAUGUAAUGAAGACUUACUUAGCAUGUACUUAUUAAGUCAGAGUUUUUUAGAACAACAUUUAUUUAUUGAAUAAUCCUUGUGAAUCAAUUUUGGUAAUAUUUUUUAUUUUAAUAUGGCUGUGUUUGUCACAAUCUGGCUUCAAUAUGUUCAGCUAUUUUUGCCUAAUCUAUUCAUGUAAGAGUAAAGUUUUCUUGGCUAGGGUGUAUGUCCUAUGGUCAAAUACACUAUAUGUUAUAACUGGGUGUGUUCCCGAUAUAUCUAUUCUACAUAUAUUUUAAAGUAUCUAGGUGAUUUUUAUGGAAAUAAAGGUUUCAAAUGGUA
rnacentral:misc_RNA from 1 species